rnacentral:lncRNA from 1 species
UAAUGCAGCUUUAGUGAACCUUUAGAUCAGCUAAUGUGACAUAAUGAUGUUUCAUUUGCAGGUCGGUAACAUGUCGAUCACAACAAAUAAUUUCAACUGGUGCUACCAUAUGGCCAAAGGUCAGUUAGGUGCACCAACACAUUGCCCUCCAUUUUCCAAACCUGAAGUGGCAUCUUUCACAUCGGGCGUGGGAAGUAGAUCAGGAGAUAUUUUUUGUCCUUUGCCACUAAUGAUAAAUGUACUAUAUGACGAUUUCGACCAUAUUAAUUAUUUAAUGAUACGAAGCGACAUGCUGCCUUUUGGAAAUUACUCAUCAGAAGCCUCAAUAAUUAUGAGGGUCGAAAAAUUGAGAAACCAUCAUUACCCAGGC